rnacentral:rRNA from 1 species
UACCUCAAAUCAGGUAGGAAUACCCGCUGAACUUAA